GUCAGGACGAACGCUGGCGGCGUGCUAACACAUGCAAGUCGAGCGAUGAAGCUCCUUCGGGAGUGGAUUAGCGGCGGACGGGUGAGUAACACGUGGGCAACCUGCCUUGUAGAGAGGAAUAGCCAUUCGAAAGGAUGAUUAAUACCUCAUAAUAUUGUAGCUUCGCAUGAAGCAACAACCAAAGGAGCAAUCCACUACAAGAUGGGCCCCGCGGCGCAUUAGCUAGUUGGUGGGGUAACGGCUCACCAAGGCGACGAUGCGUAGCCGACCUGAGAGGGUGAUCGGCCACAUUGGGACUGAGACACGGCCCAGACUCCUACGGGAGGCAGCAGUGGGGAAUAUUGCACAAUGGGGGGAAACCCUGAUGCAGCCAACGCCGCGUGAGUGAUGACGGUCUUCGGAUUGUAAAGCUCUGUCUUCAGGGACGAUAAUGACGGUACCUGAGGAGGAAGCCACGGCUAACUACGUGCCAGCCGCAGC
rnacentral:rRNA from 1 species